CCUUGAUCUUAGUUGCCAGCAUUCAGUUGGGCACUCUAAGGUGACUGCCGGUGACAAACCGGAGGAAGGUGGGGAUGACGUCAAAUCAUCAUGCCCCUUAUGACCUGGGCUACACACGUGCUACAAUGGAUGGUACAAAGGGCUGCAAGACCGCGAGGUCAAGCCAAUCCCAUAAAACCAUUCUCAGUUCGGAUUGUAGGCUGCAACUCGCCUACAUGAAGCUGGAAUCGCUAGUAAUCGCGGAUCAGCAUGCCGCGGUGAAUACGUUCCCGGGCCUUGUACACACCGCCCGUCACACCACGAGAGUUUGUAACACCCGAAGUCGGUGGAGUAACCG
rnacentral:rRNA from 2 species